UUUGAGACUUCAUUUUAAAUGACUUCACUGACUUUUAAGGUCAGUGAAGCUGAAGCCUCACUUCCAUGAUGUCCAUCUCCAAGACCUUCCAUAUAUUACUGGCUAAUGGUAAAAAAUACAGUCUGAUAAAGAGAUACGGAAAUUUGAGGAAGUCUACCCCAGAAAAAAAUCAAUACCUUCAGAGUUCAUCCAAACUUCUGACUGAAGCAUGUUUACAGGCAUCAAAUUUGCCACUUUGGGGCGUGCUAGGAGUGGUACUCACAUCAGACACCACUAGUGCUGAGGGAGAAAUGUGCUGAGGGAGAGAAAUGAAGGGCAGAGAUCUGGAAUACAGAGGGAAAGUAUCUAAUCAGAAAUAACAGCUCUCAUCAGGCGCAGACAAUAGACAGUAAACUGGCUUCAGGAGAGCUAUUCAGGCGUCGUGGGAGCCAAAUCAACAGACAGAAGUGCUUUCUCUUAGGAGGCGAUGCUCCUGACAGCUUGAUUACUUGGAUUCUGAGGUGAAAAUGCCCAACCAAAGAGAUCAGUUGAGAGAGGAAAAAGCAGCACAUUAAAAUAAGAAAACCAGGAUUUUUGUGAAGGACACAAUUGUGUGUUUGCGUGUUGCUGAAACCCAAAGGAAGAAACUUCCAGCUCUCAGGUCUUCUCAAACCUCUGGAGAGGACACCAUGCCUGAAAUGAUUGUGAAGAACACCUCAAACAAACAAAAAACCAAGGUAAUCUGUCUUCAUCAGAUCUUGUCCAGAAUGCAUUGGUGUGUUAUCUCAGUGCCUGUGAGCUGGGCAGCAGUGCCUGGCUGCCAUGUGUUGGGGAGAUAGUUCUGCUGUUUCAGGUUCCUUGGCAGCAUUCUGAAGUUGGUGGUGUUUGCCACCUUCUGCAGGCUGAGCCCAUGAUCUUCCCUACCAACAACACCUGCCCCAUGGAUCUCACCAAGAUCAUGUGUAUUGACCUGGAAGAGGAAGAAAAGAAAGUACACUGGAGGAAAUGAAGGAGAAAUGGAUAAACACAACCUGAAAAAGCAUUUAAUUUCUUCAUCGCUACCUAAAAAGCAGAAAAUGGUUUUAAAGUAACUUUUAUGAUAUGAAAGUCAUUUAAAGUAAUUGUUCUUAAAAUUCCUACCAGGUCAAGCAAUUGUUUCUGUGUCUGUCAUGCAAGUGAAUGAGUAACAAUGAGAUGGUAAAAACUGGCUGACUUCAUAAUUUAAAAAAUAAUUUGUUCACAUCACUUUUUUGCUUUUGUACAGUUUCUUGCUUCCUCACUAUGAUUCUGAACACCAGCUUUAUUGCUGCCUUGUGCACUUGGGGUUUAGAAGUGUAUUGCUAGAUUAGAGGGGAUUAGAUUGGCUGGGGCUCUGAGCAACCUGGACUGGUGGAAGGUGUCCCGGCCCCUGGCAGGGAGGUUGGAACAAGAUGAGCUUUAAGCUCCCCUCCAACCUAAUAAAUUCUGUCAUUCUAUGAUUAAAGCAUUUGGCCCUGAACACUGAGCCAGGGAGCAGCAGGGGCUGCCUAACCCCACGAGGAUGCAGCACCUGUUGAUGGAGGCAGCCAAACCAUCACCCAGCAUCCUUGCCCUACCAGGAAAAAAGCAGAAAAAGGCUGGGAUUUAAUGUUGUUUGAGUUGUUUUGGUUUUUUUCUCUACAAGACUGGUGAGGACAGAGGAAGGGAGCAGGUGGGGAUGCCAGGGGUGAGCUUCAUCUGCCACAGGAUGGAGAAGUUGGGACCAUGCCCAAAGGGAAAGUGAAGCUCAGCCAGGAGGGCUUCUGAGGAUACCUUUCUGCGAAUGGGAAGGCACAUCAUUCCAAUAGUGAGGAAGGAUCUAAUUUAAGGGCUAAAAUGAAAAGCUGUGUAUUGCUGAAAAUGCAGAGUCUCAAUUUUCCUGUGACAUGCAGGAUUCAUUUCUGGGCCUUGCAGUUCAUGAGAUAAUGGACUGUGUAACUGUUCCUCAUCGCUGUGACUAACUGCUCCUUUUUGGCACACGUCCUGGAACUCAAAGCAGUGUAAUUUUUAUUUCUGGAUAUCACAACUAAUUAUUCUAUUACAACUAGCUGUAACGUUACAACUAACAUUAUUCAUCUGGGCCCUGGUUAUCCUUUCCCUUUUAUAAAUCCUACUUCUGCACAGAUUAAAUUUUGAGGCUAUUAACA